CCUACGGGUGACAGCAGUGAGGAAUAUUGGUCAAUGGACGAGAGUCUGAACCAGCCAAGUAGCGUGAAUGAUGACUGCCCUAUGGGUUGUAAACUUCUUUUAUAUGGGAAUAAAAUGUUCCACGUGUGGGAUUUUGUAUGUACCAUAUGAAUAAGGAUCGGCUAACUCCGUGCCAGCAGCCGCGGUAAUACGGAGGAUCCGAGCGUUAUCCGGAUUUAUUGGGUUUAAAGGGAGCGUAGGUGGUUUGUUAAGUAAGUUGUGAAAGUGUGCGGCUCAACCGGAAAAUUGCAGUUGAAACUGGCAGUCUUGAGUACAGUAGGGGUGGGCGGAAUUCGUGGUGUAGCGGUGAAAUGCGUAGAUAUAACGAAGAACUCCGAUUGCGAAGGCAGUUCACUGGACUGUAACUGACACUGAGGCUCGAAAGUGUGGGUAGCAAACAGGAUUAGAUACCCCAGUAGUC
rnacentral:rRNA from 1 species